AAUCUACUCACAUGCGCACACACUCACAUACAGACUCAUACAUACACACUGUACCUCUCUCCCCUUAUCUUUCCUUGGCCUCUAUUUCUUACAUCUCUCAGAGAAAAGGACAAUUUUCGUGGUAUUGCUUUGUGCCUGACUUUACUAAACUCUGGAGAAAACGAACAUUGUCGCUCGGUCCACACCUGUCCCCAUCUCAACGACGGGCAACCGGCGUACACUGUGAGGCGUCUCCUGAGGGUUCAACCUCGGGGCAGGGGGUUCCAGUACCUGGUUGACUGGGAGGGUUAUGACGGGAAACUGGCGUACACUGUGAGGCUUCUCCUGAGGGUUCAACCUCGGGGCAGGGGGUUCCGGUACCUGGUUGACUGGGAGGGUUAGAGGUGGUGGGUCCCCACCAGGGAAUUCUGGACCCAGGCCUCAUCGUGGAUUUCCAAUGCCGGCACCCUAGUCAACCAGGCCGGUGGUAGCUGGUCCCCUGCAGGAAGGUGAGGUGCCGGAGGUCCCCCUGCCCCCUCUGGACAUCGAGGGGUCCCCGGCGUACACAUGUACUGGAUGUCACCAGUGUGAACAGCCCCAGACCAAGCAGAACUCCCAGGACUCUGUACAGUUCUAGGCCCACUCAGCUGGCCUGAGACCUGUUCACUAGCACCCCAGGGCCCUGGAAUUCCUCACAAUCAAAUGCCGACCGUGUUAUCUCCCAAGAGAACUCUCCUCGGUUAUCGGCACAGCCGUGUAUAUCCCCCCGCAAGCGGUUACCAAGACGGCCAUCAAGGAACUUCAUUUGAAUUUAUGCAAACUGGAAACCAUAUAUCCUGAGGCUGUAUUUAUUGUAGUUGGGGUUUUAACAAAGCUUAUCUGAGAACAAGGUACCUAAAUUCUAUCAGCAUAUCGAUUGCAGUACACGAGCGAGUAACACACUCAACCACUGCUACUCUAACUACCGCGAUGCAUACAAGGCCCUCCCCUGCCCUCCUUUUGGCAAAUCUGACCAUGACUCCAUAUUUCUGCUAUAGGCAGAAACUUUAACAGGAAGCACCCGUCCUUAGGUCUGUCCAAUGCUGGUCUGACCAAUUGGAUUCCACGCUUAAAAAUGGCUUCGAUCACGUGGACUGGGAUAUGUUCCGGGUAGCCUCAGACAAUGACAUUGACGUAAGUUUAUAAGAAAGUGUAUAGGAGAUGUUGUACCCACUGUGACUAUUAAAACCUUUCCUAACCAGAAACCGUGGAUUGAUGGCAGUAUUUGAGCAAAACUGAAAGCAGGUACCACCGCAUUUAAUCAUGGCAAGGCGACUGGAAACAUGACCGAAUGCAAACAGUGAGUUAUUCCCUCCGUAAGGCAAUAAAACAAGCAAAGCGUCAGUAUAGAGACAAAGUGGAGUCGCAAUUCAACGGCUCAAACAUGAGACGUAUGUGGCAGGGUCUACAGACAAUCACGGAUUACAAAAGGAAAACCAGCCCCGUUGCGGACAACGAUGUCUUGCUCCCAGACAAAUUAAAUAACUUAUUUGCUUUGAGGACAAUACUGUGCCACCGACACGACACGCUACCAAAGACUGUGGGCUAUCCUUCUUUGUGGCCGACAUGAAUAAAACGUUUAAACGUAUUAACCCUCGCAAGGCUGCCGGCCCAGAUGACAUCCCUAGCCGUGUCCUCAGAGCAUGCGCAGACCAGCUGGCUGGUGUGUUUACAGACACAUUCAAUCAAUCCCUAUCUCAGUCUGCUGUCCCCACAUGCUUCAAGAUGGCCACCAUUGUUCCUGUUCCCAGGAAAGCAAAUGUAACUGAACUAAAUGACUAUCGCCCCGUAGCACUCACAUUUCUCAUCAUGAAGUGCAUUAAGAGGCGAGUCAAGGAUCAUGUCACCUCCACCCUACCUGUUACCCUAGACCCACUCAAUUUGCUUACCGCCCCAAUAGGUCCACAGACGAUGCAAUCGCCAUCACACUGCACACUGCCCUAUCCCAUCUGAACAAGAGGAAUACCUAUGUAAGAAUGCUGUUCAUUGACUACAGCUCAGCAUUCAACACCAUAGUGCCCUCCAAACUCAUCAUUAAGCUUGAGACCCAUGGUCUCGACCCCACCCUGUGCAACUGGGUCCAGGACUUCCUGAUGGGCCGCCCCCAGGUGGUGAAGGUAGGAAACAACAUCUCCACUCCGCUGAUCAACAACACUGGGGCUCCACAAGGGUGCGUUCUCAGCCCUCUCCUGUACUCCCUGUUCACCCACGACUGCGUGGCCAUGCACGCCUCCAACUCAAUCAUCAAGUUUGCAGAUUACACUCCAAUGGUAGAUUUGAUUAUCAACAACGACGAGACAGCCUACAGGGAGGAGGUGAGGGCCCUCGGAGUGGGGUGUCCGGAAAACAACCUCUCACUCAAUGUCACCAAAACAAAAGAGAUGAUCGUGGACUUCAGGAAACAGCAAAGGUAGUACCCAACUAUCCACAUCAACCGGACAGCAGUGGAGAAGGUGGAAAGUUCCUUGGUGUAUAUAUCACCAACAAACUGAAAAGGUCCACGUACACAGUGCCUCUUCAACCUCAGGAGGCUGAAAAAAAUGUGGCUUGUCACGAAAUCGCUCACUAACUUUUACAGGUGCACAAUCGAGAGCAUCCUGUCGGGCUGUAUCACCGCGUGCUAUGGCAAUUGCACUGCCCACAACCGCAGGGCUCUCCAGAGGGUGGUGCGGUUUGCACAAUGGAUCACCAGGGGCAAACUACCUGCCCUCCAGGACACCUACACCACCCAUUAGCACAGGAAGGCAAAAAAGAUAACCAAGGACAAUAACCACCCAAGUCACUACCUAUUCACCCUGCUUCCAUCCAGAAGGCGAGGUCAGUACAGGUGCAUCAGAGCUGGGACAGAGAGAUUGAAAAACAGCUUCUAUCUUAAGGCUAAUAAAUGGAAUUCUUGUCACUUUAAUUAAUAAUGUUUACAUAUCUCGCAUUGCUUAUCUCAUAUGUAUAUACUGUAUACUGUAUCCUUCACUAUCUAUUCUUUACUAUCUAUUGCAUCUUAGCCGCUCUGUCACUGCUCAUCCAUAUAUUUUAUACUUAUAUAUUCUCAUCCCAUUCCUUUACUAGAUUGUGUGUAUUCGGUUUGUUGUGGAAUUUGUCAUUUUUAGGUUUUGUUGUGGAAUUGUUAGAUAUUACCUGUUAGAUACUACUGCACUGUCAGAUCUAGAAGCAUAAGCAUUUCACUACACUCACAAUAACAACUGCUAACCAUGUGUACGUGACCAAUAAAAUUUGAUUUGAUUUGAUGUUUGGCACAUCAGCUAGAGGUUAAGGUGUUUCUUACAGACCAAUUGGAUUGGGAUCAACCUGCCCUCAGAACGCCACAAUGACCAUCAUGCUUAGUUGACCAUGAGAAUGUGGCUUUUUUGUUUUCCCUCACCUGUACACAUUUGUUGGACUAUUUUUGAAGUGAGGGGGAAAUUUGAGAGCUAGGGUGACGUCCCGUAACCAUUGUGUGGGGCAUUAAUUGAGGAUUUGGGCCUCAUUUGCCGCUAAGGCACAAUUUCCACUUGGAGCACAGCUGAAAGAAAGGUGAAAUCUCCUAGGAUUGUGUAGGAAAUUCAAUGUAAGUGACUUUUCUUUCUGCCAUAUUGUUUACAUACAUGCAACUUACCCCCAAAAGCCUAUAUGAGGAUAAAGUGUCCUGUGUUAGAUUUAUCUCGCGGGGUCCUCAAGGGGCUCAGACUUCAUCUUAAGACCGAUUGGCUCUGCACAUUCAUUCCUCAGCUGACUGCCCCUAAACACAGACGAGGCUACAACAUUGUUGGAAGAGGAAGUCACUUUGUAAUUUUAUUUAAUUGCAGACUUCCCCUCAACAAUGGCCUAGCAGACAGAGGGAGCCGUGGAAAGGGGGACUUUGCAUGGACCAAGGACUCGGAAUUGUGCAAACUGACAUGUUUUCUUAUGGCCCUCCAUUUUUCUGUCAUGUUGAAGGAAGAUGAGGUUAACUAAGACUUAACUCCGAUAACGCCCAAUGAGAUGAGUGUCAUUGAGCAGCAGACCUUGCUUGAGUAAGCAGCUCUACAUGCUGGAUAGACAAAAAGCGAGACAAAGAGAGAGUAAAGGGAUGGAAAGAGAGGGAUGGAAAGAAAGAGAGAAAAAGAUAAUUCUUUAGUAAUAACAGAUAUUAUAGCAGAAAAUGGUGCCACAGGCUGAGAUUCAAACAAUCUUUGCACUGUGAUCCUGAUUCAAAAGUGUAAAAUAUUUCCUUGUUUCCAUGUGUGUCAACUGUCAAAAUGCCUAUAGAAUAUGUGUACAACCACUUGAUUAAUUUAUAUAUAGGGUUUUUCUUUGUUUGUACAAUUUUCUACAUUGUAGAAUAAUAGUGAAGACAUCAACACUGUGAAAUAACACAUAUGGAAUCAUGUAGUAACAAAAAAGUGUUAAACAUAAUAAAAUAUAUUUUAUUUUGGAGAUUCUCCAAAGUAGCCACUAAGGAGGUGUGGGAAGCCCAGCCGACCCCCUUUUUGCAGCGUGGUGGAACACAGAGACGACGAGGGAGCAGAUAACAGCCAUAUGGCUAGUAGUAAGGGAACAUAUGGAGAAGGCCCAGCGCGCCCAAGCCAAGGUCUACAAUUGGGGUACCCGGCCCCGAGAGUUCCAUGUGGGUGACAAGGUGCUAGUUUUUUAAGUGCGCCCAGGUGGAACUGGACACACUCAGGCAAGCCGGGUUGACAGCGAAUGCCAAGAAUGCAAGCUGGGGUUCGAGGAUGUUGAGUACCUAGGGUACGGCAAGCCCCAGGAGAGGAAGGUCCAGUUGGUUUGUGACUGGCCCGUUCUCCGCACCAAGACAUGCUGAUUCCUUCCGAAAACAGUGAAGUGGUCGUAUGAGGCCGAAGCUGUGUUCAGGCACCUGAAGGAAGCCUUGUGCUCCCAUCCAAUUCUCGGGACACACCAUUUCCAGGUACUGAUGCUGGUGCAGACGGAUGCCUGCGACACGGGACUAGGGGCCAUCCUGUCCCAGGUAUACGAUGGGGAGGAACACCCCAUCAUGUACAAAAGCCGGAAGUUGAUACCUGAGCAAAGAAGUACUUGAUUGUCAAGAGAGUGUCUAGCGGUGAAGUGGGCGCUAGAUACUCUUAAGUAUUACCUGUUGGGCACUCACUCACCCUGGUCACAGACCAUGCUCCUCCGGCCAGGACUAAUUGAGGCUGAUUGAGACUGGUGAGUAAUCAAGGCGCUGAAUGCUCACCAGCCAUACGGGGCCCAUAAAGGUGCCAGGAGUGCAGCACACGGGAGGGUUGGAGGUAGCGAGAGGUUGCUACCAGAUAGACGUCCUCACAGUCUGCUAGAACCGAGGGGCUAGGUGUUCUACCCCAGGGGAGACGGCAUUCCCCAGAGCCCAGAAGGCGUUAACCCAGAAGUGGUCUCCUUGAGGAGACCGGUUUCUUUUCUUUUUCUUUAUCAUUUUAAAUAAACACCCUUGAAA
ensembl:lncRNA